GCCAGACUGCCUUGUUUGCUUGCAUGUGUGGGUGCAAAUGUUUAUAGCACCUCUGCAUGUUCAUAGAGGUUAGCGUUAACCUACCGUGCUUUAGAGUGUUUGCGCAUGGGUAUGCAUGUAGGAGGUCUUCCCCGAAGGUUUACAAGCACGUGGGUUGCGUGUUUUGUGGGGGUGCUUCUGUAAUAUCAUAAUUUGUGUUUUUAUGUUUGUGUUUUUGCUGUAAAUACUGAAAAUGAGCAGUUGUUUCCUUUCUUGUUAGGAAACACAUAAUGGCACUACAUCCUGGCUGAUAUCACUGGAUUGGGAAUACGGAGAAGUCACAAUUGUGACAGCCAUAGGGUCUAUAAACACCGGGGGGAAAAAACAUUUGGCUUGUGCAUUUCAGCCAAUCAGAACGCUCUGGGGCAUCUCUCUCAGUACAUGUACUAAGGCAGCAGUUGUGGUCAUUGACACCAUGUGUGGAGGUCAGGACCCAUUUGUCCAGUCCAGCCCACCAGCGACAUAGUCCUCCACCCUCCCAACACUGUCUCUGCAUCAGGAGUCCAUGAAGACAUCCGGCUAAUGACAGCAGACUGCAGGAUGCAGGAACAGCCCUUCACUGGAGCCAGAGAGAGCCUGUUAGCCAUGGAUAAUGAAUGAUAUUACUCUUUCAGGGUUGGGGCUUUUGUCUCAUUACUUCUGAAGACAUAAGGGACUCCAGUAGUAUUGACACUACUAUAAAGACUUUAGGCCUGAUGGGCCGUACUGUCCAUCUGCUAUUAUCCCGAUCCUCAGCUGGGUAUAGAGGCAUCAAGUUUGGGAUUAAUGGGGAGUUCUUCCGUUAGAUUGAUGUGUCUGUACUGUGCUGAUUAAUGCAUCAAUCGCAUCUCUCUGCUCUCUUUUUAUUCUUUCUCAGGCCAUUUAUCAUUUUGAAUUGCAAUGUGUUUACUUGGCGAUCGUCUUGUGUUUCUUGAUGGAGGCAUG